rnacentral:rRNA from 1 species
GAUGAACGCUGGCGGCGUGCCUAAUACAUGCAAGUCGAGCGAACAGAUGAAGAGCUUGCUCCUCUGACGUUAGCGGCGGACGGGUGAGUAACACGUGGAUAACCUACCUAUAAGACUGGGAUAACUUCGGGAAACCGGAGCUAAUACCGGAUAAUAUAUUGAACCGCAUGGUUCAAUAGUGAAAGACGGUUUUGCUGUCACUUAUAGAUGGAUCCGCGCCGCAUUAGCUAGUUGGUAAGGUAACGGCUUACCAAGGCAACGAUGCGUAGCCGACCUGAGAGGGUGAUCGGCCACACUGGAACUGAGACACGGUCCAGACUCCUACGGGAGGCAGCAGUAGGGAAUCUUCCGCAAUGGGCGAAAGCCUGACGGAGCAACGCCGCGUGAGUGAUGAAGGUCUUCGGAUCGUAAAACUCUGUUAUUAGGGAAGAACAAAUGUGUAAGUAACUAUGCACGUCUUGACGGUACCUAAUCAGAAAGCCACGGCUAACUACGUG